rnacentral:rRNA from 1 species
GAGGACUGAAGUGGGGAAAGGUUCCAUGUGAACAGCAGUUGGACAUGGGUUAGUCGAUCCUAAGGCAUAGGGAAGUUCCGUUUGAAAGGCGCCCUCGUGCGCCGUGUGCCGAAAGGGAAGCCGGUUAAUAUUCCGGCACCUGGAUGUGGAUUCUCCACGGCAACGUAACUGAACGCGGAGACGUCGGCGGGGGUCCUGG